rnacentral:rRNA from 1 species
GUAGUCUCGCACAGAUGCAUAUCAAUAAGCGGAGGAAAAGAAACUAACAAGGAUUCCCCUAGUAACGGCGAGUGAAGCGGGAAGAGCUCAAAUUUGAAAUCUUAAAGGGUUUCCCUUUACGAAUUGUAGUUUAAAGAAGUGUUUUCUGUUGAGGUUUUGGUAAAAGUUCUUUGGAAUAGGACAUCAUAGAGGGUGAGAAUCCCGUAUUUGACCUUUACUUUCAACUUUGUGAUACACUUUCAAAGAGUCGGAUUGUUUGGGAAUGCAGUCCAAAAUGGGUGGUAAAUUUCAUCUAAAGCUAAAUAUUGGCGAGAGACCGAUAGCGAACAAGUACCGUGAGGGAAAGAUGAAAAGAACUUUGAAAAGAGAGUUAAACAGUACGUGAAAUUGUCAAAAGGGAAGCGUUUGACACCAGUGUUGUUUUUCUGAAAAUCAAUUAAAGAACUGUUUAUGCUAAGCUGUUUAGACUUUAUCAGCUAUCUGUUUAGUUUUGAGCUUUUCUUUAAUGCACUUUUCAGUUAACAAGUCAACAUCAAUUUCUUUUGCUGUAAAAAAGCUUGAGGAAGGUGGCUUGAGACUCGUCUUAAGUGUUUAUAGCCUCUUGCCUAUGCAGUCGGAGAGAUUGAGGUCUGCAGCGUAGAUCCUUCGGGGCUAAAUGCAUUUGUGCUAAGUUAUAACAUUUUAUAGACAACUUGUUGACUAUGAUUUGUCUUGUAGCUUACUCGCUUAUGUUAUUUUACCUACGCUUAGGAUGUUGACAGCAGUAUAGACUGU